AGACAGUUGGAAUCUGCUGGCCAUGCUGUGAGGGGGAAGGGACAGGAAGCAGCGAGCUAGAAAUGAAGAAAGAAGAGAGAAGGAGUGAAAGAGCCAGAGCUGUGUGGGGUUGUUCAUAGGACUGCAACAUAGCAAAGGUUUCAUUGGGGAGCAACAGGACCAGUUUUCUGGUGGAAUUAUUCUGAGUGCUACACUCUGAGGAUUGAGUGGAAACCUUUGAAGCUGCAAAACAGAACUUGUCCAGUUUGACCAGUGGAGUUUGAGAGGUGGAAACCUCAUUCUCCAAUCCCUGGUCUUGUCCAGAAUCUACGUAAAUUGAGGUCGAGAAAUAAACUUCUUUUUGCUCUGACA